rnacentral:rRNA from 1 species
ACGGCUACCACAUCCAAGGAAGGCAGCAGGCACGCAAUUACCCAAUCCCGGCUCGGGGAGGUAGUGACGAAAAAUAACAAUGCGGGACUCAUCCGAGUCUACGUAAUUGGAAUGAGCACACUUUAAAUCCUAUAGCGACAACCCAUUGGAGGGCAAGUCUGGUGCCAGCAGCCGCGGUAAUUCCAGCUCCAAUAGCAUAUAUUAAAGUUGUUGCGGUUAAAAAGCUCGUAGUUCGAGUUCCGUUCCGGACUGGUCGGGGGGGUCACCGCCCGGUGCCUGCCCGCCAGCCUCCGGACAGCUCAAGCCCCGCCGGUUCUACGCCGGGGUGCUCUUCGCCGAGUGUCCCGCGCGGCCGGCACGUUUACCUUGAACAAAUAAGAGUGCUCAAGGCAGGCUACUCUUCAAACCUAUGCCCGAAAGAUAACUGCAUGGAAUAAUGAAAAAGGAUCUCGGCCUCAUUUCUGAUUGGCUCUGGGGGCCGAGAUAAUGAUAAAAAGAGACUGUCGGGGGCAUCCGUACUACGACGCGAGAGGUGAAAUUCUAUGACCGUCGUAGGACGAACAACAGCGAAAGCAUUUGCCAAGAAUGUCUUCAUUGAUCAAGAACGAAAGUUAGAGGAUCGAAGGCGAUCAGAUACCGCCCUAGUUCUAACCCUAAACGAUGCUGACUAGCAAUCCGCCGUCGUUAUUCCCAUGACGUGGCGGGCCGCCCCCGGGAAACCUCAAGUCUUUGAGUUCCGGGGGUAGUAUGGUUGCAAAACUGAAACUUAAAGGAAUUGACGGAAGGGCACCACCAGGAGUGGAGCCUGCGGCUUAAUUUGACUCAACACGGGAAACCUCACCAGGCCCAGACACUAGCAGGAUUGACAGAUUAAGAGCUCUUUCUCGAUUUGGUGGGUGGUGGUGCAUGGCCGUUCUUAGUUGGUGGAGUGAUUUGUCUGGUUAAUUCCGGUAACGAACGAGACUCUGGCCUACUAAAUAGUCGACGUGGUGGUUCGUUCGCAUGGCCACGUUCGAAUCUAUCUUCUUAGAGGGAUGAGCAGCAAGUGCAGCUGCAGGAGAUUGAGCAAUAACAGGUCUGUGAUGCCCUUAGAUGUUGUGGGCCGCACGCGCGCUACACUGAAAGGGUUAGCGGGUCCACCUUCUCCGAGAGGAGCGGGAAAUCGCUGCAAAACCUUUCAUGAUUGGGAUUGGGGCUUGCAAUUGUUCCCCAUGAACGAGGAAUUCCCAGUAAGCGCAAGUCAUCAGCUUGCGUUGAUUAAGUCCCUGCCCUUUGUACACACCGCCCGUCGAUACUACCGAUUGAAUGAUUUAGUGAGGCCUUCGGACUGGCGGCUUGGAUCUGGGCUCCGCUCGUCACUCCGGGCUUGCUCGGGGCCGGCGGACUCGCCUCGACUCGCCGGAAAGAUGUCCAAACUUGAUCAUUAGAG